rnacentral:rRNA from 1 species
GUUUGAUCAUGGCUCAGAGUGAACGCUGGCGGCAGGCCUAACACAUGCAAGUCGAGCGGCAGCGCGUCCGACCACCCUCGGGUGGUCGGAUGGCGGCGAGCGGCGGACGGGUGAGGAAUGCAUCGGAAUCUGCCUCGUUGUGGGGGAUAACGUAGGGAAACUUACGCUAAUACCGCAUACGACCUACGGGUGAAAGUGGGGGACCUUCGGGCCUCACGCGAUGAGAUGAGCCGAUGCCGGAUUAGCUAGUUGGCGGGGUAAAGGCCCACCAAGGCGACGAUCCGUAGCUGGUCUGAGAGGAUGAUCAGCCACACUGGAACUGAGACACGGUCCAGACUCCUACGGGAGGCAGCAGUGGGGAAUAUUGGACAAUGGGGGCAACCCUGAUCCAGCCAUGCCGCGUGUGUGAAGAAGGCCUUUGGGUUGUAAAGCACUUUUGUUGGGGAAGAAACCGGCCGGGUUAAUACCCUGGUUGAAUGACGGUACCCAAAGAUAAGCACCGGCUAACUUCGUG